ACGGAAGACGAAGCCAGCUAUAAGAAAACACUGGUAAAACGACCACAUGAAAAUAUCACCACAGCGACACCUAUAACCAAGACGGAAAAUACCACGUACAAAGAAACACAAGAGCCACGCCAACAUACAAAUAUGACCACAGUGGAGCCAAUAACCAAGAUGACAUGACAUGACAUGACAUGACAAGAACUUUAUUGGAGACCUGAGGAACUCGAAUCUGGGGAGCCGGAGUCCACCAGAUCAAGUUGGUCGCUCCGCCCACGAUGGGACUGGAAGUCCAAGUUCCGUCGCGAUGUCGUGGGCCCUCU